GAAAUGCGAUAAGUAAUGUGAAUUGCAGAAUUCAGUGAAUCAUCGAAUCUUUGAACGCACCUUGCGCUCCUUGGUAUUCCGAGGAGCAUGCCUGUUUGAGUGUCAUUAAAUUCUCAACCUUAUCGGUUGGAUGUGGGGGUUUGCUGGCUCAGGUCAGCUCCCCUUGAAUGCAUUAGCUGGUGCCCCGUGUGGACUGUCUAUUGGCGUGAUAAUUAUCUACGCCGUGGAUGAGCACUGCUUCCAACACCACAAUUACAUGACAAUUUGACCUCAAAUCAGGUAGGACUACCCGCUGAACUUAA
rnacentral:misc_RNA from 1 species